rnacentral:rRNA from 13 species
UCUACAAAGUAUUAACGAUUGAUAGUAAACAAGUACCGUAAGGGAAAGGUGAAAAAGAGCUUUUGAAUUUGAAAAGAACUUGAAAUUUAAUGUUUACAAUCAGUUGUAGCUUAUUUUAAAAGUGACAGCGUUCCUUUUGCAUAAUGAAUCAAUGAGUUUAUAUUAAUGGCAAGCUUAAACAGUUAAAAGUGUAGGCUAAAAAAAAUUAAGUUUUAAA